UCGAACGUAAGAUGACUGUAGGUGAAAGCUUACAUCUCUUCGGAGCAUUUUACGUAGGUGCUGCAUGGUUGUCGUCAGCUCGUGCCGUGAGGUGUCGGGUUAAGUCCCAUAACGAGCGCAACCCCUACCUUUAGUUGCCAUCAGGUUAAGCUGGGGAUUCUAAAGGAACUGCCUACGCAAGUAGUGAGGAAGGCGGGGAUGACGUCAAAUCAGCACGGCCCUUACGUCCAGGGCUACACACGUGCUACAAUGGCCGAUACAGAGGGCAGCUACCUGGUGACAGGAUGCAAAUCUCCGAAGUCGGUCUCAGUUCGGAUCGGAGUCUGCAACCCGACUCCGUGAAGUUGGAUUCGCUAGUAAUCGCGCAUCAGCCAUGGCGCGGUGAAUACGUUCCCGGGCCUU
rnacentral:rRNA from 1 species